GGGGAAUAUUGGGCAAUGGGCGAAAGCCUGACCCAGCGACGCCGCGUGGGGGAAGAAGUCCCUCGGGAUGUAAACCCUUGUCGUACGGGACGAAGGAAGUGACGGUACCGUACGAGGAAGCCCCGGCAAACUACGUGCCAGCAGCCGCGGUAAUACGUAGGGGGCGAGCGUUGUCCGGAAUCACUGGGCGUAAAGCGCACGUAGGCGGGCUGUUAAGUCGGCCGUGAAAGGCACUGGCUCAACCGGUGUUUGUCGGUCGAUACUGGCAGUCGGGAGUAUGGGAGAGGGAACUGGAAGUCCCAGUGUAGCGGUGAAGUGCGUAGAUAUCGGGAGGAACACCAGUGGCGAAGGCGGGUUCCUGGACGAUGACUGACGCUGAGG
rnacentral:rRNA from 1 species